UCGUUGUCAAUAACUCCUCCCCUCACUUCUGGUUCUGUGGCUGCGGUUCUGUGGUUGCGGUUCUGUGGCUGCGGUUCUGUCGCUGCGGUUCUGAAACUGCUGGUGCUGCGGGUCUGCAGCUGGAUAUAUCGCUAAGGUUUUGCGUGAUAAACAAAUCUAACAGCCUUGCACCAAUUGUAUUUCUUAAAGUGCUAUUACGGUGUACAAAGCACAAAGUUAGGCUAUAUUAUUAUAUUACCCAUCAUAAAACAAAGACAAGAGUCAAGACUUUUGGAUCCGUAUGAUACGACGAAGCCUGAGAUCUAGAAGGGAGCGUAGCCUCGUGGUAGCAUCACAGAGAGGCACAACAUCCCUUUCCGGAACAUUCUCCUUCACUGUUCCUGACUGCUGGAAUGAUCUUCCCUCCUCCAUCCGGAAUGCUGUGUCUCUGACUGGUUUUUUAAACGACAGCUGAAAACUCAUCUCUUUCGUCAACAUUUG